AGAGUUUGAUCAUGGCUCAGAACGAACGUUGGCGGCGUGGAUUAGGCAUGCAAGUCGAACGAAUCCCAGAGGGCUUGCUCUUUGGGGGAAGUGGCGAAAGGGGCAGUAAUGCGUGGGUAACCUACCCCGGGGAUCAGGAUAGCCAUCCUAACGGAUGGGUAAUACUGGGCGAUCUGACGGAACCGCAUGGCUCUGUCAGGAGAUGAAUUUCGCCUCGGGAGGGGCUCACGUCGUAUUAGCUUGUUGGCGGGGUAACGGCCCACCAAGGCAAAGAUGCGUAGCGGGUGUGAGAGCACGACCCGCGCCACUGGCACUGAGACACUGGCCAGACUCCUACGGGAGGCUGCAGUCGAGGAUCUUCGGCAAUGGGCGCAAGCCUGACCGAGCGACGCCGCGUGCGCGAUGAAGGCCUUCGGGUUGUAAAGCGCUGUCGAGGGGGAGGAAGCCGAAAGGUUGACCGAUCCCUGGAGGAAGCACGGGCUAAGUUCGUGCCAGCAGCCGCGGUAAGACGAACCGUGCGAACGUUGUUCGGAUUCACUGGGCUUAAAGGGCGCGUAGGCGGCCGGUCAAGUCCGGGGUGAAAUCUUUCAGCUCAACUGGAAAAGUGCCCCGGAUACUGACUGGCUCGAGCGAGGUAGGGGCAGGCGGAACUUCCGGUGGAGCGGUGAAAUGCGUAGAGAUCGGAAGGAACGCCGGUGGCGAAAGCGGCCUGCUGGACCUCUUCUGACGCUGAUGCGCGAAAGCUAGGGGAGCAAACGGGAUUAGAUACCCUAGUAGUCC
rnacentral:rRNA from 1 species